AUACUCUGGUUUCUCUUCAAAUUGUAUAAAUCUUUCGCCUUUUACUAAAGAUUUCCAUGGAAAAAUAAGUUAAUGAAAGGAAUGCCCUACGUUUAGAAUAUAUAAAUGUAUACAU
ensembl:snRNA U5 U5 spliceosomal RNA